GGCUGGCGUACGUUGGCGUUGCUCCAUUGAAGCCAGCAGCUACGCCGACGUGAGCCAGCUGA
rnacentral:pre_miRNA from 1 species